rnacentral:rRNA from 1 species
UGGGGGAUAUUGCACAAUGGGGGGAACCCUGAUGCAGCGACGCCGCGUGAGUGAAGGAGUACUCCGGUAUGUAAAGCUCUAUCAGCAGGGAAGAAGCAGGACGGUACCUGACCAAGAAGCCCCGGCUAACUACGUGCCAGCAGCCGCGGUAAUACGUAGGGGGCGAGCGUUAUCCGGAUUCACUGGGUGUAAAGGGAGCGUAGACGGCAUGGCAAGUCUGGAGUGAAAGCCCGGGGCCCAACCCCGGGACUGCUCUGGAAACUGUCAUGCUAGAGUGCUGGAGAGGUAAGUGGAAUUCCUAGUGUAGCGGUGAAAUGCGUAGAUAUUAGGAGGAACACCAGUGGCGAAGGCGGCUUACUGGACAGUGACUGACGUUGAGGCUCGAAAGCGUGGGGAGCAAACAGG